rnacentral:rRNA from 1 species
AUGUGCAAGUAUACCUUGGUGCCAUUCAAAAUGUUCUGAUCUCAUCUGAUUUCAGAAGCUAAACACAGUUGGAUUUGGUUAGUACUUGGAUCAGAGACAGCAGGAUCUCCAGUUCGGAAGUG